rnacentral:rRNA from 1 species
UAGAUACCCUGGUAGUCCACGCUGUAAACGAUGGGCACUAGGUGUGGGGGGUGUCGACUCCCUCCGUGCCGAAGCUAACGCAUUAAGUGCCCCGCCUGGGGAGUACGGCCGCAAGGCUAAAACUCAAAGGAAUUGACGGGGGCCCGCACAAGCAGCGGAGCAUGUGGUUUAAUUCGACGCAACGCGAAGAACCUUACCUGGGCUUGACAUGUUCCUGACCACCCUGGAAACAGGGUUUCCCUUCGGGGCA